ACACGGUGGAUGCCCUGGCAGUCAGAGGCGAUGAAGGACGUGCUAAUCUGCGAUAAGCGCCGGUAAGGUGAUAUGAACCGUUAUAACCGGCGAUUUCCGAAUGGGGAAACCCAGUGUGAUUCGUCACACUAUCAUUAACUGAAUCCAUAGGUUAAUGAGGCGAACCGGGGGAACUGAAACAUCUAAGUACCCCGAGGAAAAGAAAUCAACCGAGAUUCCCCCAGUAGCGGCGAGCGAACGGGGAGGAGCCCAGAGCCUGAAUCAGCAUGUGUGUUAGUGGAAGCGUCUGGAAAGGCGCGCGAUACAGGGUGACAGCCCCGUACACAAAAGCGCAUGUGCUGUGAGCUCGAUGAGUAGGGCGGGACACGUGGUAUCCUGUCUGAAUAUGGGGGGACCAUCCUCCAAGGCUAAAUACUCCUGACUGACCGAUAGUGAACCAGUACCGUGAGGGAAAGGCGAAAAGAACCCCGGCGAGGGGAGUGAAAAAGAACCUGAAACCGUGUACGUACAAGCAGUGGGAGCACAGGUUUACCUGUGUGACUGCGUACCUUUUGUAUAAUGGGUCAGCGACUUAUAUUCUGUAGCAAGGU
rnacentral:rRNA from 1 species